rnacentral:misc_RNA from 1 species
AAAAAUAUACCUCAGAAAAACGCACACACACACACACACUCUCCUUCUCUUCUGUUUCCUUCUUCCCUUCCUCUUCCUUCCUCACCUCCGUCUUCAUCUUUGCAGAUCAAACAGAGACCGUCUAAUCUCCACUCUUCGCUCUCUCUCUGUCUCUGCCGGCUUCGCCCAGUAACGCUCCCUCGAUGUUUGGGCCUGGCUACUGAUUGGUCAUAAUGGAUUACUUUCUUGGGGGUGAGACUCCACCUAUCCUGCAGUUGCACAAAUGGGGCCCCUCUCAGUACCAACUGAACUUAUCAGAAUUUCGUGAAGCUUUUAUUUCUCCGACGAGGGAGCUGCUGUUAUUGCUUUCUUACCAGUGUGAAGCUUUGCUGCUUCCUUUGGUUACUGGGAGCCCCUUAGAUGACAACAUUUCAGAGAGUUGCUUCAAUGAAUGUGUGCAAAAUCAAUCUCCAGAAGCUUUUUGUUCUCGAUCAUCAACGAAGCCUAGUUGCUUAGAUUCACAAGAUAGUGUAUCCCUUGCUGAUAUAUCAGUAGCAGAUCUUGAUAAUGGUUUUUCUGUUGAACAUAGAUCUUCAAGAUCUAAUAAUUACCCUUUUCUUUGUGAUGUAAAUUCACUGGCUUGGGGUGUAUGUGGGGAUACCUAUGAUGUACACGAGGAUGUUUUAUUUAGAGAGCUCCUUUUUGUGUCCAGUGAUUAUGGUGUUACAGUGCAUGCUUUCCGUGUGCCUGAUAAAACUGCAAUGGCAAGAUCCUUAUUGGAGAGUGAGUUUGGGGAAGGGAGGUGGGUGGCUUGGGGUCCUUCAACUACUACAUCAGCUCAAAAUAUGAAGUCUGAGGACACUGUUGGUAUGUAUUCUGGAGGCACUAGUGCUAGUGUGGCUGUCAAAAAGACCAAUGGGAAUGAGGAAACUCAGCAAGAUACGUGUAAAGAAACUGGGGUUGACCAGCUGUCAAGUGGCGUUGCUUCAAAGAGGUGGUUGUGUUCUUUUUUUACUAAAGCUGAAACUAUAAAAUUUGAUGGUAACAUCAGGACUAGGUUCCCAGAGAAGGCAUCAUUUCCAGGCUCAGCAAAGGUUGUUUCGUUUAGCAUUCUUGAUGAGAAUUUGCCGGUUUUGGACUUCCUUUCUCAUGAAAACUUUGUCUCAAAUAAGGGAGAAAGCCAGCAUGAAAAUGUUUUGGAGCUGGGUAGCAAUUUUGGUGCCAGUUCAUACAAAUGUUCCAGAGUGUUUUCUAGCAAUUCACAUUGUCUAAUUGGAUUUGUUUUAACAUUGGCAGAUUCUUUAUUUGUCCACACAGCUAAAGAGAAUGAAAGCAGCAUAAAAACAUUGCUUCUUGUUGCUAGGUUAGAUGGUUUGGGAAUCCAUUGGGUUUCCUUUGUGAAGCUUGCAGAAAGUGUAAAUGGAGAUCCUGUUCCUGAGUGGACUGACUUUAGCUUUUCUGAUAACCUUCUUGUUUGCCUAAAUGCUUCUGGGUUAAUCUAUUUUUAUGCUGCAAUGUCUGGAGAGUGUGUUGCACAUCUGGAUGUUUUACAAGCUUGUGGAUUUAACCCACAAUCAAGGCCAUGGCAGCAAGAAAAAGUUUCCAUAGUUGAUCCACAGAUAAAAUCUUUUGAUGAAAUUCAUGAUAAGUCAACUUCUCUAGUUGGUGAUUUAUUUGGCAGGAGAAUGUUUAGAAAGUUGCUUGUUGCUUCACACACUUCCUUGCUAGCUGUUGUUGAUGAAUGUGAUAUUAUUUAUGUCAUACGUGCUGGUGACUAUAUGCCAGAUAAGUACUAUGCAUAUGAGAAAUUGCUUCCACAUUUUCAACAUUUAGGGCUUGGCAUAUUGGUUGGUUGGGAGGUUGGUGGCUCCGAUAUAGGCCACCAAACGGUAUAUUCUAAUAAUGCAUUUAAGAGGAAAGUAGAUAAUUUUCAUGGUAGAAGGGCACAGUGUGACUACUGCUCAAGCAUCUCAUCAGAUAAUAGUUUUUCUGAUUAUAAGGUGCGCUUACAACCGAUGCGUCAAGUUUUUCUUCCCACAGAAAGAUUUAGGGAGGAUGAUUGUAUCUGUUUCUCCCCUUUGGGAAUCACCCGGGUUACAAAGAGGCACGGCAUUAAGAAUCCAAGGAAUGUUCUCGUUCAUUUGAAUCUGCAUAUGGGUUUAGCAGUUCAUGAUGAAAAUUGCUUGGAUUCUGGGGGAAAAAUGUUUUACCCACAGGUGAAGGAAGAAGCUUCUGUUGGAGAAGCAAUUGGUUGCACUUUUCAUGGAUGUCUUUAUCUUGUUAAUGAAGAUGGCAUUUCAGUUGUUCUUCCCUCUGUUUCUUUUUCAUCAAAUUUCCUGCCUGUUGAAACCUUUGGAUAUCGGCUGCACAGUUUUGAUACAGGCACAGGAUAUCCUGUGAAAAGAACUCAUCAAAUAAGGGAAUCCAAAGAGCUUUUCUCAGCUUGGAAAGUCGAGGUUUUGGAUAGAGUUCUUAUGUAUGAAGGCCCUGAAGAGGCAGAUCGUCUGUGUUUGGAAAAUGGAUGGGAUUUAAAAAUAUCUAGGAUGCGUCGGCUACAGAUGGCAUUGGACUACCUGAAAUUUGAUGAAAUAGAGCAAUCUCUAGAAAUGCUUGUGGGUGUCAAUCUGGCAGAAGAAGGCAUUUUGAGAUUGCUUUUUGCUGCGGUUUAUCUGAUGCGUAACAGAAAUGGUAGUGACAGUGAUGUUUCUGCUGCGUCGAGGGUUCUUGCAUUGGCCACUUGCUUCACGACCAAAAUGAUUCAAAAAUUUGGGUUACUGCAGCAUAAGAAUGGCUUGUUACAUGGUUUUAGGAAGACUCGAUUGCUCUCUCUUCCUUCAUUUAUUUCAGAUGAAGUACAAAAUGAAAUGGUGGACUCAAAAAGGCUUCGUGACAUGGCUCAUUUUUUGGAGAUCAUUCGGAAUCUGCAAUAUCGACUUGGAGCAAAAUUCAAAAAGCCUGGCCAGGGAUUGGUGGAUGGUGGUGAGGCAUUAAAUUUGAUGGACACAGAUUUGUCAGAGGAUGAAUCUCAGCUUUCAAUUCUUCAAGAUAAUGCUGAUUCGUUGGAGACACUAAACCAACAAGAACUUUCAAUUUCUGUAUCUUCUGUGGGUUCUAAGGGCGAGAAACUUGCUUUGAUGUCCAAGGAUGCCUUAGUUUCCAGUGCCCAUUUGGAUCAGGAUGAUUCAACUGCAGUAUCCAUAUUUGUGCCUCGGGCUGGAAAUUUGGGGAGGAAAAAUUAUCCAAUGGAAAAUCCCAAGGAGAUGAUUGCACGAUGGAAAGUAGACAAUUUUGAUCUUAAAACUGUAGUUAAAGAUGCUCUCGUCUCUGGCCGGCUUCCUUCAGCUGUUCUUCAAUUACAUCUUCAUCGUUCAAGAGAUUUAGACGCUGAUGAACUGCCUUCUGAUACUUUUAAUGAAGUUCGUGACAUUGGAAGAGCCAUUGCUUAUGGCCUAUUUCUAAAGGGUGAAACUGGGCAUGCAAUUGCAACAUUACAAAGGCUUGGGGAGGACAUUGAAACCUGCCUCAAGCAGUUAUUAUUUGGCACAGUAAGGAGAUCCAUUCGGAUUCAAGUUGCACAAGAAGUGAAAAGAUAUGGUUACCUGGGGCCACAUGAGUGGAAGAUAUUGGAGAAGAUAUCACUAAUAGAGAGGCUGUACCCUAGCAGUAGUUUCUGGAAAACUUUUCUUGGUCGGCAGAAGGCAUUGAUGAGUGCUUUGUUGACUUCAAAUUCACCUGGAGAAAUUAAGCUGCACUUAUUAUAUCCACAUCUAUUUAGCAAUCUCAUCAUCGAUUGUGGUGAGAUUGAUGGGGUUGUUCUAGGUUCAUGGACAAGCAUCAAUGAAGAUUCUUCUGACCCUGUGGUUGAUGAAGAUACUGCUCAUGCUGGAUAUUGGACUGCUGCUGCAGUGUGGUGUAGUGCCUGGGAUCAGAGGACCAUUGAUCGAAUAGUUUUGGAUCAGCCUUUCCUUAUGGGUGUUCAUGUAUUGUGGGAAUCUCAAUUGGAAUAUUAUUUGUGCCAUAAUGACUGGGAGGAAGUUUUUAAACUUAUGGACCUCAUUCCUACAUCUGUAGUAUCACAAGGAAGCCUCCAAAUCACUUUAGAUGGCUUAAAGCAUGCACCUGCUACUGGAUGUAGAAGUGAAUUUCCUGAGUACAGUAAUUAUAUAUGCUCAAUUGAAGAAGUGGAUGCUGUUUGCAUGGAUGUUCCAGGAGUCAAAAUAUUCAGGCUUUCUGUUGAUGCGAUGUGCACCAUGUGGUUAAGGAUGCUCAUGGAAAAGGAGCUUGCUAAGAAAUUUAUUUUUUUGAAGGAUUAUUGGGAAGGCACUGCAGAGAUUGUAGCUCUACUAGCUCGUUCAGGAUUCAUCACUAGCAGACCUAAUAGAAUGUCGUCAGAGGAUUUUUCUUCGAAACUUUCGUCUGAUCUGAAUGUAUCAGAUGGUGGAAACUUUGAUGUUGACGCUACACAAGCUUUGCAUAAAUUACUCGUGCAUCAUUGUGUGCAAUAUAACUUGCCAAGCCUUUUGGACCUUUAUCUUGACCAUCACAAAAUGGUCAGGGAGAAUGAUUCACUUUACUUGUUACUGGAAGCUGCAGUAAGUUUCCUCACAUCCAGGAGAUUGCCAAUGGGCAAAAUGGUUGCUUUUAUCUAGGAUUAAGGGUCAUGAAUAUGAUGCAUCGUUUUGUAAUGCUUGGGCUAUAAUGUCUCAUGAUAGCAACCUCAGUGUUCUAGACAUUGAUGAGAUAAUUCGUACUGUUGAUGAUAUUGCUGAAGGAGCAGGUGAAAUGGCAGCUUUAGCAACUCUGAUGUAUGCCUCUAUUCCAAUUCAAAAUUGCUUAAGUAGUGGCACUGUUUCAAGGCUUAGUAGUUCCACAGCUCAGUGCACAUUGGAAAAUCUUAGGCCCACUUUGCAACGCUUUCCUACAUUGUGGCGCACACUUGUAGCAGCAAGUUUUGGACAGGAUACAUCUAAUUUGUUCGUCUCUAAGGCAAAUAAUGCACUGUCAAACUAUUUGUGUUGGCGUGACAAUAUCUUCUUCUCUUCUGCACGUGAUACUUCACUUCUGCAAAUGUUGCCAUGCUGGUUUCCUAAAACUGUGCGGAGGUUAAUUCAGCUUUAUAUCCAGGGUCCUCUUGGAUGGCAAUCAUUCUCGGGUCUGCCUGUAGGAGACUCUCUGUUAGAUAGAGAAAUUGACUUUUACAUACAUGCCGAUGAACAUACUGUGAUAAAUGCUGUAUCCUGGGAAGCAACGAUACAAAAGCAUGUGCAAGAGGAACUCUAUGAUUCCUCGCUUGAGGUAUCUGUGUCCUUUUCACCUCAAAAUGUGGUUCAUGUUUUUUAUCAUAUCUAAUUUAUGAGUUUUAUUCAAAGCAUUCAACUUUGGUGUAAGGAUGGUAUUUUGAAAUGCCAGUUGCAGCAGCACUGGUCUGUUGAAAAUGAAGUUUCAUUAAUUGCAAUUCUGAUGCCUGAUAUGUAGGUGAGUUUGAAGAGAGUAGGCAAUGCAUUUUUUAUUUUAAAAAGCAAUAUUUCCUAUUAACAUUCAUAGUAUUAUUAAAUAUGAGCAUAUAUCAUAAUUAGUUGGUUCCCCAUAAGUUAGUUUUGUACAUGGUGGAAAAGAUUCUAUAUUGUUUUUCUUUGUGAAAAUGUUUUUCUUUUGAUGCAGCAUACAUGUUAAGUGAACUCAGAUGUCAUUGUAAUUUGUAGAUUUGUUCCUUUUUCUCUGCUUCAGAUAAGUAAAUUUGUAUCUGAAAAUCUGUUAUAUAUAUACAUGCACAAGUGCUCGCGCAUGCUCAAGAGACAUAGGUAUGCUGUUACAUGAUCUUUUAAUGUGGUUUCUCUUGGAAAGUCUUGUGUUCUUGAAUCCUGCAAUUAGCAUGGGAACUGUAACUUUGCAAGAUGAGAUUCAUGUAAAAUUUAUCUAAGUGUAUGGCCAGACUUCCAUGGUUAGCGCAUCGUUUAUGCUAGGAAAAGGAAUUUUACAUUCAUGAGAUUUAGUAUUCAUAUUGGAUUUGGGAGACAAAUUUAAAAAUAUAGGUUGUUGUUGUUGUUGUUGAUAAGAAGGCCAAUGUCACUGGAUAAAUAAAAUUUGUGAUGUAGUAAACAGAAGAAUCUAUUGAUUGGAGUUAUAUCGUGUGGAGUCUUGCUUUGUUGAAGGUAACUGGUUUGUUUGAUGAAAUAUUGAAUGGUUUACAUUCUGUUGUAUUGUCACUUACUGUGCUUAUUGUCCGAUGGGGUUACAUCGACUUCAGGAAACUGGAAAUGGGCUUGAGCAUCAUUUGCAUCGUGGUCGUGCGCUGGCAGCUUUUAAUCAUAUUCUUGGGGUUAGAGUUCAAAAGUUGAAAUUGGAAGGCCAGUCUGAUGCUGCAUCGCUUGGACAAACAAAUGUGCAAUCACAUGUGCAAACGCUUCUAGCACCUUUAACACAGAGUGAAGAGGCUAUUGUUUCAUCUGUGAUCCCACUUGCUAUUACUCACUUUGAGGAUCCCGUAUUGGUGGCAUCAAGUGCUUUUCUUCUGGAGCUUUGUGGUUUUUCUGCCAGCAUGCUUCGUGUGGACAUUGCUGCCUUGAAGCGGAUAUCAUCAUUUCACAAAUUAAGUGAAAAUAAAGACAAAUUUGGUCAAAUUUCACCAAAAGGCUCUGCAUUUCAUGUGGUUUCUAUUGAAGGUGGCAUGGUAGAGUCUCUGGCUAGAUCACUAGCAGAUGAAUACUUGCGGAAGGAUAGUGUAAAGGAUGCUAAGCUAAAGAGAACUGCAGAUUUGCAUACAAGCAAACGAUCUUCACGGGCACUUAUGCUAGUCCUACAGCAUUUGGAAAAGGCAAGCCUUCCAGUGAUGAUGGAUGGAAAGACUUGUGGAUCUUGGCUACUAACUGGUAGUGGUGAUGGGGCUGAACUAAGAUCUCACCAAAAAGCUGCAAGUCAGCAUUGGAAUUUAGUUAAAGUUUUCUGCCAGAUGCAUCAACUUCCCUUGAGCACAAAAUACCUUUCUGUAUUGGCUAGAGAUAAUGAUUGGGUUGGAUUUUUGUCUGAAGCUCAGAGUGGAGGAUACCCUUUUGAUACAGUGGUCCAAGUGGCAGCCAAGGAAUUUAGUGAUCCACGUCUCAAAAUUCAUAUUUUAACAGUCUUGAAAGGCAUGCAGUCAAGAAAGAAAGCUGGUUCUCCAUCUUACUCAGAUGCUGCUGAAAAAGGGAGUGAAACUUCCUGUUCAGACGAGAGUGUACUUAUACCUGUUGAACUCUUUAGAAUAUUAGCAGAUUGUGAGAAGCAGAAAAAUCCUGGAGUAGCUCUCUUGAGGAAAGCAAAAGAGAUGUCCUGGUCACUUUUGGCAAUGAUUGCAUCAUGCUUUCCUGAUGUGUCUCCAUUAUCUUGCCUAACAGUUUGGCUAGAAAUUACAGCAGCAAGGGAAACUUCAGCCAUAAAGGUGAAUGAUAUUGCAUCCCAGAUUGCUGAUAAUGUUGGAGCAGCUGUGGAAGCUACUAAUUCCCUGCCGGUGGGUAGUAGGGCAGUAACAUUUCAUUACAAAAGGCAGAAUCCAAAACGCCGACGCCUUUUGGAGCCCAUGACUGUGGACCAAUUGGUUGUAUCUGCUGCUGAUGUUUCAAGUACUUAUUAUAGUCCAAAUACAUCAGUAGCACAAGAUGGAAGAAAACAUGGAAUUGGUGAACAUGUUAAUGUUUCAAGUGAUUCUGAUGAAGGGCCUGUGUCUCUCUCAAAGAUGGUGGCAGUGCUUUGUGAACAGCACUUGUUUCUGCCAUUGUUAAAGGCCUUUGAAAUGUUUCUCCCAUCGUGUUCUUUGUUGCCUUUCAUUCGUGCGCUUCAGGUCUGAGAGCGAACUUUUGACUCAUCUUUUCCAUCCAUCUCUAUGGUUCCUUAGGAUGAAGAUAAAUCUUUUUCCCCUUCAAAGUAAUGUUUUGGGGAACAUGCAUACUGAUUUUGUUUGGUUGGGUCUCAGGCUCAUAUCUUACCUAGAAUAGUUAAGUCUGUGGCAUCCAGAUCAGUGUCCACUGGGCUUCCAGUUGGAUCGACGUAGUGUAUAUUGAGAUUGUAUUUCAGUGCAUGAUGUUUACCAAAACCGACUCAAAAUGUAAUAUGAGGACUGAGCUGUUCAAAUCAAUGUCUAAUGGGCUGUGUAAUGUAUAUCUGCAUUAUCCUUACUCUUGGAACGAGUAAAUUAUAAUAGAUUUACAUGGAGGACAUCUUAAAAUGAUGAGGUCAUGAUGAAUAGACAUAGUCUAAGCAAUAUGUCAUUUUGUUAUGGUUGACUUAAUUUUAAGGUCAUUGAUUUAGAUCAUUUUUAUAAGUGAUUUUACUGAAUGCCUUUAUCGGUCAUGCAUAUCAUCUUCAAUAUACUUUCUUUCCUUUCAGUUUUUAUAUUUGAGUUAAGUUUUUCUGUUUACCAGGGUUAUAAAGACAAUCUAAUCAUUGGGAUAAUCUUCUGAUAGAAGCAAUAAUUUCUUCCUUUUUUCAUUGACUUUCUUUUCAGGCAUUUUCACAAAUGCGCCUAUCUGAAGCUUCAGCACAUUUGGGCUCCUUCUCUGCCCGGAUAAAGGAUGAAUCAUCCCAUUACCAAUCAAAUAUGGUAAGAGAAGAGCAGACUGCAACAUCAUGGUUAAGCUCUACUGCUGUAAAAGCUGCCAAUUCCAUGCUUUCAACUUGCCCAUCUCCCUAUGAAAAAAGAUGCUUGCUACAACUUCUUGCUGCAACUGACUUCGGUGAUGGAGGAUCUACAGCAACAUAUUAUUGGCGACUUUUUUGGAAAAUUAACUUAGCAGAGCCUUUAUUACGGAAGGAUGAUUGCCUACAUCUUGGGAAUGAGACAUUGGAUGAUGCUUCACUUUUAACUGCUCUUGAAAAGAAUGGGCAUUGGGAGCAAGCAAUCAACUGGGCCAGGCAGUUGGAGGCCGGUGGUGGACCUUGGAAAUCUGCUGUUCACCAUGUUAUUGAAACUCAGGCUGAAUCCAUGGUAACUGAAUGGAAGGAGUUUCUUUGGGAUGUUCCUGAAGAGAGAGUUGCUUUGUGGGGCCAUUGUCAGACACUGUUCAUAAGAUAUUCUUUUCCUCCUUUACAGGCUGGAUUAUUUUUCCUUAAACAUGCUGAAGCAGCGGAGAAAGAUCUUCCAGCCAGAGAGCUUCAUGAAUUGCUGCUGCUCUCUCUUCAAUGGUUAAGUGGGAUGAUAACUCUCUCCAAUCCGGUUUAUCCAAUAAAUCUUCUUCGAGAAAUUGAGACUAGAGUAUGGCUCUUGGCAGUAGAAUCAGAAGCUCAGGUAAAGGGUGAUGGAGACUUCACAUCAACUGCUUCCAGCCGGGAUCCUGGGAUUGGAAAUGGAAAUACUUCCAAUAUCAUUGAAAAGACUGCCAAUUUGAUAACAAAGAUGGACGUUCAUAUAAAUACAAUGAGGAAUAGAACAAUAGAUAAACAUGAUGCAAACGAAAAUACUUCAGGGCUUCAGAAGAACCAAGUAUUGGAUGCCAGCACUCCAACAUUAGGGGUCAGUACUAAAACAAAGCGAAGGGCCAAAGCCUUUUUACCAUCAAGACGACCAUUUAUGGAUCCAAUGGAUAAAAGUACUGAUUCUGAAGAUAUUUCUGUUCCUCUCACUUCUAAGAAUGACUUGCAGUUGCAAGAUAAAAAUCUAAAGUUAGAAAUUUCUUUUUCAAAAUGGGAGGAAAGGGUUGGGCCUGCAGAGCUGGAAAGAGCUGUUCUUUCCUUACUGGAGUUUGGACAAAUAACAGCUGCCAAGCAACUCCAACAUAAGCUAUCUCCAGAAAACUCUCCUCCGGAAUUUGUUCUGGUCGAUGCUGCUCAAAAGCUUGCAGCUAUGUCAACUCCUUGUAACAAAGUAUCUCCAUCAGUGCUUGAUGAGGAAGUGCAUUCUGUUGUCCAAUCAUAUAAUAUAUUCACUGAGCAGCAUUUAAUCGACCCAUUGGAGGUGUUGGAGAGUUUAGCAAACGUGUUUACUGAGGGUAGUGGACGCGGUCUAUGUAAGAGAAUCAUAGCAUUUGUAAAAGCUGCAAAUGUUCUGGGUCUCUCUUUUUCAGAGGCAUUUGAGAAGCAACCAAUUGAAUUGCUACAGUUGCUUUCUCUUAAAGCACAAGAAUCAUUUGAAGAAGCAUCUUUCUUAGUGCAAACUCAUUCCAUGCCAGCAGCCAGUAUUGCUCAAAUUCUUGCAGAAUCAUUUUUGAAGGGUCUACUGGCUGCGCAUCGUGGGGGAUAUAUGGAUUCUCAGAAGGAAGAAGGACCUGCUCCUCUGUUGUGGAGAUUUUCAGACUUUUUAAAAUGGGCUGAGCUUUGCCCUUCACAACCCGAAAUUGGCCAUGCGUUGAUGCGUUUGGUGAUUACAGGUCAAGAAAUACCGCAUGCAUGUGAGGUUGAGCUUCUUAUUCUUUCUCACCACUUCUACAAAUCAUCAGCAUGCCUUGAUGGAGUUGAUGUCUUGGUAGCUCUUGCUGCAACUAGGGUUGAGGCCUAUGUGUCUGAGGGUGAUUUUCCCUGUUUGGCUCGAUUGAUAACUGGAGUUGGGAACUUCCAUGCUCUUAAUUUCAUUCUUGGUAUUCUCAUAGAAAAUGGUCAACUGGAUCUUCUACUUCAGAAGUAUUCUGCUGCUGCAGACACAAAUGCAGGAGCUGCUGAGGCUGUCAGAGGAUUUCGGAUGGCUGUCUUGACAUCAUUGAAGCAUUUCAACCCAAAAGAUCUUGAUGCGUUUGCUAUGGUCUAUAACCACUUUGACAUGAAGCAUGAAACAGCGUCUCUUUUAGAGUCACGUGCAUGGCAGUCUUCGGAGCAGUGGUUUCAUCGUUAUGACGUGGAUCAAAAUGAAGAUCUGCUUGAAUCAAUGCGGUAUUUGAUUGAAGCGGCUGAAGUUCACUCUACCAUUGAUGCUGGCAAUAAAACAUGCAGAACUUGUGCUCUGGCUUCCCUUAUUUCUCUUCAAAUUCGAAUGCCAGAUUCCAAGUGGCUCAGUUUAUCUGAAACCAAUGCCAGACGAUUACUAGUAGAGCAAUCCCGUUUCCAAGAGGCCCUAAUUGUUGCUGAAGCCUAUGAUCUUAAUCGGCCAAGUGAGUGGGCGCUGGUGCUUUGGAAUCAGAUGCUAAAGCCGGAGCUAACAGAAGAAUUUGUAGCUGAAUUUGUGGCAGUGCUUCCACUCCAACCUUCAAUGCUUAAUGAACUGGCAAGAUUCUAUAGGGCUGAGGUGGCUGCCAGAGGGGACCAAUCACAAUUCUCAGUUUGGCUGACUGGGGGAGGACUACCUGCAGAAUGGGCUAAAUAUUUGGGAAGAUCAUUCAGAUGCUUGUUGAAGAGAACUAGGGAUCUGAGGUUAAGGUUGCAGCUGGCUACGAUAGCAACUGGUUUUAGUGAUGUCAUUGAAUCAUGUACAAAGGCACUAGAUAAGGUUCCUGAAACUGCUGGACCUCUGGUACUGAGGAAAGGGCAUGGUGGUGCCUACCUCCCAUUGAUGUGAAACCAAAGCUUGAUGGAAAGACUAUGGUUGCUCCAAAAUCAGGACGUGAGAGUGAUUGGUGGUGGCAGUCCUGAUGACAAAGAUGAUUAUGAAAAAUUUUGAUGAUAAUAUAAUUUCUUGGGAAGAAAUAGAAAGCAGAAUACAUGAGAAGAAUCAAUACGGUUGUAAAUUAGUGAUUUAGGUGAUUAGUUAGAUGAAGCGGAAAGGUUGUAAAUUUUGAUUAUUUGGUGGGGGGAUAGUUCAGUUGGCUUUGGUUAUGUGUUCCUAUUUUACAGUUGAAAAGCAUUUUUGUAAGAUUUGUUGAUUUUAUUUCCCUAAGGUUGCCCUUCGGUGGCCAAUUACUUAGUGGCAGAGCCAGAAAAAAUUUUCUUUUAAGGGCUAUUGUUAUAUAUAAAAUUAAUUUAAAA